rnacentral:rRNA from 1 species
GAUGAACGCUGGCGGCGUGCCUAAUACAUGCAAGUCGAGCGAACGGACGAGAAGCUUGCUUCUCUGAUGUUAGCGGCGGACGGGUGAGUAACACGUGGAUAACCUACCUAUAAGACUGGGAUAACUUCGGGAAACCGGAGCUAAUACCGGAUAAUAUUUUGAACCGCAUGGUUCAAAAGUGAAAGGCGGUCUUGCUGUCACUUGUAGAUGGAUCCGCGCUGCAUUAGCUAGUUGGUAAGGUAACGGCUUACCAAGGCAACGAUGCAUAGCCGACCUGAGAGGGUGAUCGGCCACACUGGAACUGAGACACGGUCCAGACUCCUACGGGAGGCAGCAGUAGGGAAUCUUCCGCAAUGGGCGAAAGCCUGACGGAGCAACGCCGCGUGAGUGAUGAAGGUCUUCGGAUCGUAAAACUCUGUUAUUAGGGAAGAACAUAUGUGUAAGUAACUGUGCACAUCUUGACGGUACCUAAUCAGAAAGCCACGGCUAACUACGUG